CUGCCCCUCGACGCCAUUGGCCAGGUCCCGCCUGCCCAUGUCCCCACGGGCGGCGGAGGGCCCCGUACGUAAGGCCACACCCCUCGGGCUCCACAACGGCCAAUGAACCGACGUCCUGGCGGCACUGUGGGCGGGACUAAGAGAAAACUAGGAAAGGGACUGGAGGAGAGAAGUGCCAGUGAGGGCGACGGUGGUGGGUGGGGCAGCUGACGCUUGGUCUUGGAGGAGAGCCCGGGAGAGAAGGGGGGAGGGGAGCGAGGCAGGUGGCGGAGCGGCGGGGAACAACGGGGAGAAGAGCCCGAGGCCUCGAGAGGGAGGGGACAGUUUACAAAAAAUGCCCUACCCGAGUGGGACUGUGGCCCAGGAAAAUCCCACUCGUGGACGAGCUACCAAAUCGGUCUCCAGUGCACCCGGGAGAGCCGAGAGAAAGGGCGAACUGUGUGACAGGGACUCGUGCACCCGCACCCGGUUAAUUGAAUAUCAAUCACCUCCGGGGCCUAGGCCAACUGCCACCCAGAGAGUGGCAACAGCAGAACCCAAAGCGGCCGUGCUAGGCUGGGGGUGGGGAAGGGACUCCACCUGGCCACACCUCCCGCCUGGGUGACAGUUUAACUGCCUCUGCAUCCCACAUCACAACCUCCCCGUGCGACCCGGCAGCAACUCGGACGUGCGGGUGGCCUGAGACUGUAAGAAGAACCACGUUUUGUUCCCAAUGUCCUAGCCUAGGCCUCCGUGCCAAAUUGCAGGUACAGAUCUGUGAUUCCUCAGGAAAGACACAUCUUUAAAGAUCCUUUACAGAUAACAUAUAAUUGCAGUUUAGAAUUACAAAGGAGACGGAAUCCAUCCCCAAAGGAGAGGACUCUUUUGGGAUUUGAAAUGGUUUUGUUUGGCUACAAAGAAGGUUGGACGUGCUUCAGUGUCUCCUCACAACUUCCUCUACUUUACCAACCAGCUGUCUCCUCUGAAGUAGAUCUGCCCCAUCACCUUUGCAAAAUGAGCUGAAAGCUGUCAAAGGAUGUGCCUUCUGAAGAGCAGGCAGGAGGCUCCCAGGCCAGAAAUCUGUCCUUGAUAAGGGCCUGCAGUCCCACUGUUAAAAGGUUGUUCCUUUGAAGGUGCAGGAGCUCCGGGGAGGGGAGGGAUAACAGCUUAAAUAAAUCCUGAUC